rnacentral:rRNA from 1 species
GGGCCCGCACAAGCGGUGGAGCAUGUGGUUUAAUUCGAUGAUACGCGAGGAACCUUACCAGGGCUUAAAUGUAAGUUGCAUAGAUCAGAGAUGGUCUUUUCUUCGGACUACUUACAAGGUGCUGCAUGGUUGUCGUCAGCUCGUGCCGUGAGGUGUCAGGUUAAGUCCUAUAACGAGCGCAACCCACGUCUUUAGUUGCCAGCAUUUAGUUGGGCACUCUAGAGAGACUGCCGGUGAUAAACCGGAGGAAGGUGUGGAUGACGUCAAGUCAUCAUGCCCCUUACAUCCUGGGCUACACACGUACUACAAUGCUACGGACAAAGGGCUGCAAGUUCGCGAGGACAAG